rnacentral:rRNA from 1 species
UACGGAGGGUGCGAGCGUUGUUCGGAAUUACUGGGCGUAAAGGGCUCGUAGGCGGCCAACUAAGUCAGACGUGAAAUCCCUCGGCUUAACCGGGGAACUGCGUCUGAUACUGGAUGGCUUGAGUGUGGGAGAGGGAUGCGGAAUUCCAGGUGUAGCGGUGAAAUGCGUAGAUAUCUGGAGGAACACCGGUGGCGAAGGCGGCAUCCUGGACCAUUACUGACGCUGAGGAGCGAAAGCCAGGGGAGCAAACGGG